AACCUUGAGAAUAUACUAAAAACAACUGAGACGUAUGCUUUAAAACAGUCAAUUUUAUGGUAUAUAAAUUAGAUCUCAACUUGGAAAAAAAAAAAAGAUCAACUCAACGUCUCUUUCUCUCUUCCCUCCAUUCUGCCAUCUGAAUCCUAGCAAUUUGUAUUAGAGGUAAAAGCAAUUUUUGUGGAAGACAUUGUUUUCAAUGUUUCAGAUACGGUAAUGAGUCUUCCUAACAGGAAAGCCUUUGUUCACUAGACAAAGCAACAUCGAGUU
rnacentral:lncRNA from 10 species